rnacentral:rRNA from 1 species
AUGAACGCUGGCGGCGUGCCUAACACAUGCAAGUCGAACGAGAUGCGUAUUGGAAAGCUUCGGCCGGAAGAUGCGUUAUCUAGUGGCGGACGGGUGAGUAACACGUGGGUAACCUGCCUUAUGGAGGGGGAUAACAGAGAGAAAUCACUGCUAAUACCGCAUAAGCACACAUUGCCGCAUGGCAGAGUGUGAAAAGAUUUAUCGCCAUAAGAUGGACCCGCGUCUGAUUAGCCAGUUGGCAGGGUAAAAGCCUACCAAAGCAACGAUCAGUAGCCGAUCUGAGAGGAAGACCGGCCACAUUGGGAAGGAGACACGGCACAAAAUCCUAAGGGAGGAAGCAGUGGGGAAUAUUGCACAAUGGGGGAAACCAUGAUGCAGCGACGACGCGUGAGUGAAGAAGUAUUUCGGUAUGUAAAGCUCUAGCAGCAGGGAAGAUAAUGACAGUACCUGACGAAGAAGCCCCGGCUAACUACGUG